rnacentral:rRNA from 1 species
AUUGAACGCUGGCGGAAUGCUUUACACAUGCAAGUCGAACGGCAGCACGGACUUCGGUCUGGUGGCGAGUGGCGAACGGGUGAGUAAUACAUCGGAACGUGCCCAAUCGUGGGGGAUAACGUAGCGAAAGCUACGCUAAUACCGCAUACGAUCUAAGGAUGAAAGCGGGGGAUCGCAAGAACUCGCGCGAUUGGAGCGGCCGAUGGCAGAUUAGGUAGUUGGUAGGGUAAAUGCCUACCAAGCCGACGAUCUGUAGCUGGUCUGAGAGGAUGAUCAGCCACACUGGGACUGAGACACGGCCCAGACUCCUACGGGAGGCAGCAGUGGGGAAUUUUGGACAAUGGACGCAAGUCUGAUCCAGCCAUUCCGCGUGCAGGAUGAAGGCCCUCGGGUUGUAAACUGCUUUUGUACAGAACGAAAAGGCUCUGGUUAAUACCUAGGGCUCAUGACGGUACUGUAAGAAUAAGCACCGGCUAACUACGUGCCAGCAGCCGCGGUAA